AGAUGUUACUCCAUCAACUAGAGUUCCUGGAGCUCAAAUAUCUCCCCAAAGCUCACGCGAUUCUGCACAGAUAAUUUAAUUGAAUGCCCUAACUUAAAAGAACUGUGCAUACAAAAUUGCCCUGGGUUGAUGACAUUUAUCUCCAAUUCUGACAGUGCAAACAUGAACGACAGCAGUGAACUCCAAGCAAUAAGCUCUGCUCUCUUUGAUGAAAAGGUUGUAGUCCCCAAGUUGGAGCAAUUGAAGAUCCUCAAUAUGGAUAAUUUGAAGAUGAUAUGG
rnacentral:misc_RNA from 1 species